GACGAACGCUGGCGGCGUGCUUAACACAUGCAAGUCGAGCGGAGCGGCGAACGGGUGAGUAACGCGUGAGUAACUGCACCCCUCUCUGGGAUAAAAGUUGGAAACGGCUGCUAAUAACGGAUAGUGGGGGGGGACUCGCGUCCUAUCAGCUUGUGUGGGGGGUAGUGGCCUACCAAGGCGACGACGGGUAGCCGGCCUGAGAGGGCUACCGGCCACGUUGGUCUGAGAUACGGCCCAAACUCCUACGUGAGGCAGCAGUGGCGAAUAUUGCACAAUGGGGGAAACCCGGAUGCAGCAACGCGCGUGCGGUAUGACGGCCUUCGGGUUGUAAACCGCUUUCAGCCAUGACGCGGUAGUGGCAGAAGAAGCACCGGCUAACUACGUGCCAGCAGCCGCGGUAAUAC
rnacentral:rRNA from 1 species